UAUCUCUGUAGAGUCUGCAUACCAAUAAGCGGAGGAAAAGAAACUAACUAGGAUUCCCUCAGUAACGGCGAGUGAAGCGGGAAGAGCUCAAAUUUGAAAUCUUCAAGGUUUUACCUUGACGAAUUGUAGUUUAAAGAAGUGUUUUCUGUUGGUGUUUUGGUAAAAGUUCUUUGGAAUAGGACAUCAUAGAGGGUGAGAAUCCCGUAUUUGACCAUUAUUUCCAGCUUUGUGAUACACUUUCAAAGAGUCGGAUUGUUUGGGAAUGCAGUCCAAAAUGGGUGGUAAAUUUCAUCUAAAGCUAAAUAUUGGCGAGAGACCGAUAGCGAACAAGUACCGUGAGGGAAAGAUGAAAAGAACUUUGAAAAGAGAGUUAAACAGUAUGUGAAAUUGUCAAAAGGGAAGCGUUUGACACCAGUGUUGUUUUCUACGAAAAUCAAUUUAUGAUGGCUUGAUGCUAAGCUUUAAGACUUUAUCCGCUUGUUGUUUAGUUUUCUUGUCUUUGUGAAUGCACUUUUCGUGGAACAAGUCAACAUCAAUUUCUUUUGCUGUAAAAGGGUAAGAGGAAGAUGGCUUCGGCUUCGGCUCAAGUGUUUAUAGCCUUUUAUCUCUGCAAUCGGAGAGAUUGAGGUCUGCAGCGCAGACUCUUCGGGGUUAGAUACGUCGGUGCUAAGCUAUAGCUUUUCAUAGACAACUUGUUGACUAUGUUUAGUCAUGUGGCUUACCCGCUGGCGCUAUUUUACCUACGCUUAGGAUGUUGAGUCAUCACACAUCUCU
rnacentral:rRNA from 1 species